ACUCUUCCUUCGGUAAAACAUAGGGGCAGGCCCGACUAGCGAUCUUAUGAGGCCACCCAUGGCUCUUGGUUCCUGCCUCUUCGAGUACACUUUAAAAACAAAGAAAAAGAAAGCGAAGAGAAGAGGGGAGAAGGAAGUUGUAAUCAGCAAGGAUCUGUUUGACUAUGAGAACGAAGACUCGCCUCGGGGGCCGGCCUAAACCCUGCACCUCGCCCACCGCCACUACCAAUAGGGCACUUCCUCUCCUCCACGAUCAGCCGGAGGAUUUUAUGCAAACAAUUAUGCAUGAAAUGUCGAGUGCGUGCAACGAGGGGCUUCACGAUGAUGCAGCUCUUAAUUUGAAUGAAGAUACUGUUGAUUGUAUGGAGAUAGAUUCUUUUAAGGAGCGGACUUGUAUAAGGUGCAAUCGAGGUGGAGACGUCUUGGUUUGUCGCGAAAUUGGCUGCCCAAUUGCUCUCCACGAAAAGUGUGUGUGCUUUAAGCCUAAAUUCGAUGCCUUUGGUCGCUUUUACUGUCCCUAUUGUUCCUACAAACGAACAAUGGUAGAAACUCGACAAUUUAGGAAAAAGGCUAUGUUGGCAAAGAAAGCUUUGUUGAAAUUUGUUAGUUCGAAUGCUGUAGGUGGGAAUGGGCAGAAGCUGGAGGACAGUGGUGAAGCUAAGAGGAAAGAGUCCAAUGUAUCCUUACCUCAUGUGCGAAACAGAAACAGCCCUGAUCAUGAGAAAUGUGUGUGGGUGGAGGAUCUACAGGAUGACAGAUGUGAGGCACAUAAUAGGGUGAUUGAUGAACUUCACACAAAUCAUUCUAUACCCAAUGCUUGUAGUAAUGUACAUUUCAGAGAAGAAGAGAUCGUACUAGAUUUUACAGAAGAAAAAUCCAAUGAUGUGAACAUAUCUGAAGCACAUCUGUCUGAUUUUAUAGAAGACGGAGAAAGACUACAAGCAGAAGAUGCAUCACGAAUGGAUGAAAGUCAGAAUGAAGGAAGUUUUGAGGAGGAUGAAGAGCAAGCAGAGCCUUUGACUACUUGUAACUCGGAUGAGGUGAUGACUGUAGAUGAGGGACUUCAUGCAUCAAGAGAAGGAUCACAGGAUGGACUUGAGGCAUCUGCAGAGAAUAAAGGCAAAAGGGAUGGUGAACACAAAUUGCAGCCAGAAGCACCAACAUCACGGCCAAAGCGUUUCAAACAAAGAGCUCAAAAAAAGGCACGGCCUCAGAAUGCUGGUUUACAAAGGAAAAUAUCCCCUCAUAAAUAUAUGACUCCAGAGAAAGAUUCUAGGAAACCAAAUGAGGAUGUUGCUACCUCUAAAAACAAAAAAGUUACUGCCUCCAACAAGUCAAGACAACCCAGGGAGUCGCCUAAAAAAUUCACGAAGAUGACUUUUCCUAAUGUGAAACGAAAGAGAUUAUUCUGGACAGCUGAAGAGGAAGAUAUGUUAAAGGAAGGAGUGCAUAAGUUUUCAACUUCAGCAAACAAAAAUAUUCCUUGGAGGAAAAUUUUGGAAUUCGGUCGUCAUAUAUUUCAUACGACCCGUACUCCUGUAGAUCUCAAGGAUAAGUGGAAGAAUAUGAUGGCCAAAGAUUCAUCUACAAUUAACAAAGAAUCACCCUAAUACUUACAACUUGAAAGGAAGGUGCUGAUCAGUCUGAAGGGGGUGAGAUUGUAGUUACUGUUCCUUUUUUUUUUUGGGGGGGGGAAUCUUUUCGUCAUAACACACCCUUAAUAGUGGUGUUGGACUGCUGGUAUUGCACUACUGCCAAAAGUUGCAUCUCUUGAAACUAACAAAUCCAGAAUGACAGUUCUUUGGGAACUAUGAGGGUUGAUUUCAUGUCAAACUUUCUCCGGGAGUUUGGGUAUUUUUGUAGCGGCUAUUUGCUGGGUUGUGAAAGGAGUGGAACAAACGGUUAAUAGAAGGUUUGGUGUUUGUGACUGGCAUUGCGACAAAGGGCAUGGUGCCAGCAUCUACUGGAGUCCCCAUCUACCCGCCAUUGUGAAUUGGUCUCCCCACGCAGUUUCUAUAUUUGUUCCCAUGAUGUCUAAUUAUACGAGUAUAACACUAGGAAGACUAGUUGGAUUGUGAAUUUUGUGUAUCCUAUUCUAUAUAUCUAAUCGACACGAACUUUUGUUUAUCAAUGAAAAUGAAAUUCGUAUUA